GAGUGGCGAACUGGUGAGUAACACGUGGGAAACCUGCCCAGAAGCGGGGGAUAACACCUGGAAACAGAUGCUAAUACCGCAUAACAACUUGGACCGCAUGGUCCGAGUUUGAAAGAUGGCUUCGGCUAUCACUUUUGGAUGGUCCCGCGGCGUAUUAGCUAGAUGGUGGGGUAACGGCUCACCAUGGCAAUGAUACGUAGCCGACCUGAGAGGGUAAUCGGCCACAUUGGGACUGAGACACGGCCCAAACUCCUACGGGAGGCAGCAGUAGGGAAUCUUCCACAAUGGACGAAAGUCUGAUGGAGCAACGCCGCGUGAGUGAAGAAGGGUUUCGGCUCGUAAAACUCUGUUGUUAAAGAAGAACAUAUCUGAGAGUAACUGUUCAGGUAUUGACGGUAUUUAACCAGAAAGCCACGGCUAACUACGUGCCAGCAGCCGCGGUAAUACGUAGGUGGCAAGCGUUGUCCGGAUUUAUUGGGCGUAAAGCGAGCGCAGGCGGUUUUUUAAGUCUGAUGUGAAAGCCUUCGGCUCAACCGAAGAAGUGCAUCGGAAACUGGGAAACUUGAGUGCAGAAGAGGACAGUGGAACUCCAUGUGUAGCGGUGAAAUGCGUAGAUAUAUGGAAGAACACCAGUGGCGAAGGCGGCUGUCUGGUCUGUAACUGACGCUGAGGCUCGAAAGUAUGGGUAGCAAACAGGAUUAGAUACCCUGGUAGUCCAUACCGUAAACGAUGAAUGCUAAGUGUUGGAGGGUUUCCGCCCUUCAGUGCUGCAGCUAACGCAUUAAGCAUUCCGCCUGGGGAGUACGGCCGCAAGGCUGAAACUCAAAGGAAUUGACGGGGGCCCGCACAAGCGGUGGAGCAUGUGGUUUAAUUCGAAGCUACGCGAAGAACCUUACCAGGUCUUGACAUACUAUGCAAAUCUAAGAGAUUAGACGUUCCCUUCGGGGACAUGGAUACAGGUGGUGCAUGGUUGUCGUCAGCUCGUGUCGUGAGAUGUUGGGUUAAGUCCCGCAACGAGCGCAACCCUUAUUAUCAGUUGCCAGCAUUAAGUUGGGCACUCUGGUGAGACUGCCGGUGACAAACCGGAGGAAGGUGGGGAUGACGUCAAAUCAUCAUGCCCCUUAUGACCUGGGCUACACACGUGCUACAAUGGAUGGUACAACGAGUUGCGAACUCGCGAGAGUAAGCUAAUCUCUUAAAGCCAUUCUCAGUUCGGAUUGUAGGCUGCAACUCGCCUACAUGAAGUCGGAAUCGCUAGUAAUCGCGGAUCAGCAUGCCGCGGUGAAUACGUUCCCGGGCCUUGUACACACCGCCCGUCACACCAUGAGAGUUUGUAACACCCAAAGUCGG
rnacentral:rRNA from 1 species